CAGCAGCCGCGGGAAUACGAAGGUCCCGAGCGUUGUUCGGAAUCACUGGGCGUAAAGGGAGCGUAGGCGGCGUGGUAAGUCAGAUGUGAAAUCCCGGGGCUCAACCCCGGAACUGCAUCCGAUACUGCCAUGCUAGAGGAUUGGAGAGGUAGCUGGAAUUCUUGGUGUAGCAGUGAAAUGCGUGGAGAUCAAGAGGAACACUCGUGGCGAAAGCGAGCUACUGGACAAUAACUGACGCUGAGGCUCGAAGGCCAGGGUAGCGAAAGGGAUUAGAUACCCCUGUAGUCCCUGUCUCUUAUAC
rnacentral:rRNA from 1 species